GCGACUGUAUACGUGGCCUGUUAAAAUGCUGUACUCAGAUUCACUAUAUAAAGCCAUAGUUGUUGCACUGAAAAAGCAUCACUGUCAGUCAGACAAAUCUACAUCAACAAACCUUAAAAAAUGUUCCAGAAACUCUUCCUCUUUGCCUUUGUUUUGGCUAUGGUUGCCAUUGUUUACACUAACAGCCUACCUACCCCUGAGGAUGCUGGAGAGACUGAUCAGACCUUUUGCAAACCCUUUUCUUCCUGCUUCAACAGCACGGACUGUGCCAGCAACUUGAUUUACAAGACUUGCCGCAGCAACUUGUUCGGCAGCAAACAGUGCUGCCUGUAAACACUUGGUUUAUCGAACUAUUUAAAUUCCAGGCAUAAGGACGACCACUUGAUUGACACUUUAAACAUUUAUUUCGUCUUUUUCCUUUAAGUUUCCCCAUUUUCUAAAGUGUUUCACACACGUGGGGAUCCGUUACGUGCAAUUUGCUUCUGUUCGUCAGCAGUUUCAAAACGCUACUGGAAAUACAAUAAAGUAUUAGCAUC